AACGUAGGUCACAAGCGUUGUCCGGAAUUACUGGGUGUAAAGGGAGCGCAGGCGGGAAGACAAGUUGGAAGUGAAAUCUAUGGGCUCAACCCAUAAACUGCUUUCAAAACUGUUUUUCUUGAGUAGUGCAGAGGUAGGCGGAAUUCCCGGUGUAGCGGUGGAAUGCGUAGAUAUCGGGAGGAACACCAGUGGCGAAGGCGGCCUACUGGGCACCAACUGACGCUGAGGCUCGAAAGUGUGGGUAGCAAACAGG
rnacentral:rRNA from 2 species